GACAAACGCUGGCGGCGUGCUUAACACAUGCAAGUCGAACGGAAAGGCCCUGCUUUUGUGGGGUGCUCGAGUGGCGAACGGGUGAGUAACACGUGAGUAACCUGCCCUUGACUUUGGGAUAACUUCAGGAAACUGGGGCUAAUACCAGAUAGGAGCUCCUGCUGCAUGGUGGGGGUUGGAAAGUUUCGGCGGUUGGGGAUGGACUCGCGGCUUAUCAGCUUGUUGGUGGGGUAGUGGCUUACCAAGGCUUUGACGGGUAGCCGGCCUGAGAGGGUGACCGGCCACAUUGGGACUGAGAUACGGCCCAGACUCCUACGGGAGGCAGCAGUGGGGAAUAUUGCACAAUGGGCGGAAGCCUGAUGCAGCAACGCCGCGUGCGGGAUGACGGCCUUCGGGUUGUAAACCGCUUUCGCCUGUGACGAAGCGUGAGUGACGGUAAUGGGUAAAGAAGCACCGGCUAACUACGUG
rnacentral:rRNA from 1 species